GAGAUAUUCAACAUUUCUGUAUUUUCGAAUGAUUUUUUUCAGCACUUGAUUAGUAAAUUUGACAUCGUUAGAGCUUCGGACAUACAUAGUAACCGGACGAUGUUUAUGAAGUCCACAACAAUAAUGACAUAAUUUCAUAAAAAGUUAUUUUUAAAAUAAAUGGACUGGGAAGGGAUGUCUGUUAAUUUAUCACGCUUAAAACGGUGGUGUUUUGGUCAUAACUGUCCACCUUGAUAAGACUGCAAAAGAAAAAAAAUCUACUGACAUGUAGUGUUUACAUUUUGCAUUAUUUUUCUGAUUUGUUUAUAACAGUAGAUUCAACCUGAUGAAAGGUAAUGGUAUGAAUUGAGAUGAUUUAUUUAGUUACCUUCAACUGGUCAUUGGUCAACAAGAGAGUAUUACUGUGUGUCUUGAAACAUUGAAUGCCCCAAAACAACCAGUAUGAUAAGAAGGCCAGAGUAUACAGCUUCCCAAAAUGUUGAAAGACUAAGCUGUUUUUUCUAAGGACUUGUAUACUAUCUAGGUUGAAAUUAGCCAUGGACAAUGAAUUUGGAGGUGCAUGCUGGAGCAUCAGAAAUGACAGACUUGGAAUAGAUAUUUGCAUAAUAUACAAGUAACAUUUACUGAAAAAUGACUAAUGUUUAUGUUAAUAAAGUGCAAUAUCCAUGCUUGUAACAUUUACAUGGGGGUAAUAGUUACAGUGUUGAAAGAGACUACCAGUGUUACAUUUCAAUCUAAGUUACAGUGUGGAUGCUAAUUCUAAAUUCUUGAUAGUCAAGUGUUUUUAGUAACUUAUGGAUACUAAUUAUUUAUCAAACUGUUUAAUUUAUCACAUUCCUACAUCAUUAUUUUACAUAAAAUGUUUGUGGUUAUAUAAUAUAUGUUUAUAUGAUAAUAAAUUUUGUUUCUGUGUAAAUAUCUUUGUUUUUGAAAAAUGAAAAUGAAACAUUCAGUGACCAUCUUCUGUCAACAAGUUAUUAUAAAUGCAACAAAACUGAUGAAAAGUUAUCCAAUUACUUUUCACAGGUUAAUAUUGAAUAGCAGAAUACACAUAACAUUGUGUAGUU
rnacentral:lncRNA from 1 species